GGGAAACGAUGUGGGAAGGCACAGACAGCCAGGAUGUUGGCUUAGAAGCAGCCAUCAUUUAAAGAAAGCGUAAUAGCUCACUGGUCGAGUCGGCCUGCGCGGAAGAUGUAACGGGGCUAAACCAUGCACCGAAGCUGCGGCAGCGACGCUUAUGCGUUGUUGGGUAGGGGAGCGUUCUGUAAGCCUGUGAAGGUGUGCUGUGAGGCAUGCUGGAGGUAUCAGAAGU
rnacentral:rRNA from 1 species